UCCGCCAUUUGGGAUCAUGGCAUCCGCUCGAGAGGAGAGUCGCAUAAGUCCUUACAGAAAACUGCUUAUAGAUCUGUCUAUGGAACUGACUAGAAGAGAUAUGGAGAGGUUAAUUUAUGCUGUAGGGGAUAUUCUUCCUAGGAGACUGACUGAAAAUAUGGAAAGUGGACUGAAGUUAUUUGAAGCACUCGAACAGGAUGUUCAUAUUAGUCCACAGAACCUGAACCUGCUGCAAGAUGGGUUUGAUACAAUUGGCAGAGCGGAUCUUGCGCAAAGAAUUCAGGUUUUCUCAAGUAAACCAGACAGUGUUGAGGCUGAUGCAGGUGGGCAAGAUGACAUAGUGACUGAUGGAAUUGGGGAUCAAGGCAAUGCUGACACAACAGAGAGUGAUCCUACUGACACAAUAAACCCUGGUGCAGAGAAAGCUCAUGCUGUACACUUGAAAUCAGCACAGCUACCUCAUCAAUCAGUGUUACCGUUUGAUGGGAAUCUGGGAAGUACCCCCACAGUCACCAGACCCAGGGGUGCAGGAGAAGCUACUCCUACAAAGCAUUGCCUUGUGGCCAGCAGUGAUAAUUUAUCUAUGGCUAUAAAUGAUGGCUCCUACACUUCAUCUCCUGCACCCUCACCUGCAGCUGUGGGGCAACAAUCACGAGGACCCACUCAGGCUGCUUCAUCUGGUAGAGUCCAACAUGACCCAGCCCAUGGAACACCAUCGGUGCGAUAUGUGAACUUUCUUCUUUACGAGGGCUAUUCUGUGGAAAUAAUAGGAGGAAAACACUUCAAAACUCCAGAUGGAGAGUUUGUGGAAAUGAAAAGUGGGACACAGUAUAAAAUACAUGUAAAAAACUCACAUACCUAUGGUUGUCAUGUGGAUAUAUCAAUUGAUGGUUAUGAUGUAGGAGGAUGGGCUCUCAGGCGUGGAGAAGAGAUGUCAAUAGAAAGAUCAGCAUAUGAGGCAAAGAAGUUCACCUUCUAUCGAGUGAAAACUGCACCAAAAGAGGCAGGAAUUGUGUCUGGGCAGCCUGAAAAUGGUGUUCUUAAGUGUGUGUUUACACCUGAAGUUGUCAUAGCUUUCACACAAGGUUUAUCUUUCCAUCCACCCGAUGAAACAGAGAAUGCAAUGGAAAGAAGGAUAAAACAAGAAAUUGAAAGGCAAGGUUUAGAACUGAAUCGUAUAGAGUCGAAUAUAGAUUCUGCAUCGUGUAAAGUGGGCAUGGCGGAAAGUCAUAUAUCAGCUAAACAGAGUGGAUCGAUUCUUAGUAAAGUCUCUGUUUUGGUUUACAACAAGGAGCGAAUAAUUUUUAAUUCUUGAAUUGUGGUAGUCGCCUUUCAAACAGACGGUUGCUGAUCGCCACAUUAUUUUUUUUUUUGUACCCUGUUACUCGCCUCUUUCUUCAGGUUGGUUCCAAAAUCUUCUGCCUUCAAAUUCUAAUUCUGAAGCUCCCUCUGGUGAGUAGUAUUUCACAAAUGUAGUUGAAUAACAAGUUCCCCUCUGGUAAGUGGUAUCUGUCUCGGCGACGUCCACGAGUCAGUAAGGCUUCUUUUCAACAAACCUAAAACAUCAAGGGACUUAAUAUAACAAACUGUCUUGUUUCUGCUUUUUAACUUGAAGAGUGUUGUUGUAAACACCAUAUCUCUGUAAAUAAAGAUACUCUCACCUCAACCCCUCUAUUGUAAAGUGAGUUUAUUUUUAGAAAACUUUGGGAACAUUUUUUUUCAUGAGUUUUGCAUCUAAGAUGCGAUUUCUCCUUUUUUUUUUUUCUGAAUCACCAGAUGCUCCCCAAGCCCCACCACCCCGGCAAUCAACUCGUUACGCUCAAUCCAGUUGUGUCAAUGUCGUUGAACGGGAUCCAGCAUGGAGAGCAGGUGCUACAA
rnacentral:misc_RNA from 1 species